rnacentral:ribozyme from 1 species
CACUUUAAAAACUCCAGAGUUUAUUGACUUCAUUUUGGUUGGACCAUCAUGAGCAAAUUAUUUGGUAUGGCUAGGAGAGCUCCUCCUGUAACAGAAACUGUUGACA